CUAUGCUUUUCUUUGAGGGGAGACUUUUUAUUACUGACUCAAUCUUGUUACUACAUACUGGUCUUUUCAGAUUUUCUGUUUCUUUGUGAUUCAGUCUUGGUAGAUUGUAUGUUUCUGGGAAUUUAUCCAUUUCUUCUAGAUUUUCUGAUUUCUUGGCGUAUAGUUGUUCAUAAGUCUCAUGAUUCUCUGUAUUUCUGUGGUAUCAGUUUUAAUGUCUCUACUUUCAUUUAUAAUUUUUUAAAUUUUACUCUUAUUUUUUCUUAGUCUACCUAAAGGGUUGUCCAUUGUGUUUAUGUUUUCAAAUAACCAACUAAGAAUUUCAUUAGUCUUUUCUGUAAUUUUUUUUCUGAUCUCUAUUUUAUUUAUUUCUGCUCUGAUUUUUAUUAUAUCUUUCCUUCUGCUGACUUUCGGCUUACUUUGCUCUUCUUUUUCCAGUUCCUUGUGGUGCAACAUUAGUUGUUUAUUUAGAACAUUUCUCUUUUUUUAUGUAGUUGUUUAUUUCUAUAAGCUUCAUUAUUAGAACUGCUUUUGCUGAAUUCCCAUACCUUUUGUUAUGUUGUAUUUCCAUUUUCAUUUGUCUCAAGAUAUUUUUAAUUUUUCCUUUUAAUUGCUUCAUUGACCCAAUGAAUGUUCAAGAGCAUGUUAUUUAAUUUCUAUAUUUUUGUUAAUUCCAAAAUUCCUCCUAUUAUGGGUUUCUAGUUUCAUUCCAUUGUCAGAGAAGAUACUUGAUGUAAUUUCAGUCUUGAUUUCGGACUUGUUUUGUAUCCUAACAUAUUCUGCUAGGAAAGUAGGAAGUAACUAGAUUGGGACAAAAUGGUUCAGAACUGUAGUGGUUGGAAGGGAUCAUUGAGCACUACCACUGAACUGGCCAGUCUUUGAUAAAAGCAAAUGCUCUGUUCUUUUCCUACGUAGAGUUAGCACUACGGUACUAGAAAUGUUGAUUAUAAAAAAUUUAUUCUACAUUUUUUUUGAACUUUUAGUAAGAAACGUAUUAAUCAGUGGAAGGAUUCAUAGUUUUCCUGGUAUUUCACUUGAAAUAGUUUUAAAAGUAAGACCUUGCAAGGAACAUGGAUGUUUUUGUCUAAAUUCUGAAAUGAUCACCUUUACACUAAUUUCCUAUUUUCUCUUCGCUCUUGUUUGAGAUAAUUAUUAGACUGAAAUAGGUUCUUUGUAGUACAUUUCUAAUCUUGCAAGUACACUUGAAAGUCUACAUACCCAGAGAAAAUAAGUGUAGAAUCAUGAUUUUAGCAUGAGGAUUUUAAAACUUUUUCCAUUAUUCUAUCUUGCUGGCUUAAAAUUAGUACAGCUUUCUUUCUUGUUUUGUUUAUAUUUUUACCUUUGAAUGUUUCUUCAUGUAAAAGUGUGUUGAGAGGAUUGAGGGAGAGGGUUUAUGCUGCUGUGGAAAUAUUUUUCCUUCUUUUUGGUUAAAUCUGCUCCCCCUUGUGGUAUAAUCUAGGUCAUUAUAGUGCUCAUAUUUAAUAUCUCAGAAAGAUAAUAAGUUCUUGAGUGUUUACUCCUUACCAGAUGUUAGGCUAAAUGCUUCGUAUACAUUUUCUCAUUCAAUCAUCACAGCCACCUUUGGAAAGAGAUAUAAUUAUCAUUCAGCCCUAUUGGAUAGAUGAGGAAACACAGGAUUAGAAACUAUAACUAGUGAGUUGUAGAACUAUGAGUUGAACUUAAAUUUGUCUCAUUCAAAAUCCCAUAACCUUAAUUUCUCUGUCAUACCAUCUCCAAGAGCACUCCAGAAGGAAAACUUUCUCAUUGAGGGCUACAGAAAUACUUGCACUAUUUUCCUCAUUUUCUUAUUUCUCCAUUUUAAAAAUCAUUUUUUCACUUUCAUCCUCAUCUGAUAGAAAUGGUUAUGGAAGAUGCAAAAAAAAAAAAACACACAGUUUUAAGUGUCUAGCUUUGUAUGAAUCUGCCUCAUUCUAAGUGAGCAUCAUUUGUACCUCUGUCAUUGUUUUUGGUAAUACCCUUGCAAGAAAACAUUCUCCAUUGGUUGGAUCCUUCACUGUUUGCUUACAUUGGGAGUUUUGAUUCAUUGUAUUCUUAACAUUUCUAAUGACAUAAUAUCUGAAGAAAGGGAGAAUAAAUGAAGAGUGUUUUAAAAUAUCAUUUCUGCUAAUCUAAUGUAACAAAAUUUUGUAACUAUAAAACCUGACUACUUAACUAAAAGAUCCUAUGUUCAGGGUCAUAGCACUUAAUGACUUUCUGGCAUGCUUUUACAUUCAAAUGUCUGGGUGUAAAUUUAAUGACUUCUACAUUUCGAGGCUAAAGAAAAUUUCCAGCAAACACAAAAUGAAAAAGAGUAAACACAUAUGCACCUGAUAAUUUGUUUUGAUGCAUUUAUAGUUUUGAUAAUAAAAAGUACUUUGUAUUGCUUUUCU
rnacentral:lncRNA from 10 species